AGCACUGAUGCCAUGCGGGACACGAUAGAGUUAGAGCUGUUUUGAUACACAUCUAAAGAACAUGCUCAAGAACGUAACUUUCAAGGGUAGGAAAAAACAAAAAGAAGUAAAUACCUGGGAGUUGCAGUGUAGCUGCAGCCAUUUCCUCCUGCAACCCCUGAAGAAGAUGCAUAUGGAUCAUAAGAAGAAGAAGAAAAAAAGAAGAAGAAGAAGAAAGUAGUGAAGGAGAUGCAUUGGGAUUGAGUGACUCACCAGGGUCAGUCGAGGAAAGCACAGCCGUGCCACUGAAAUCACAGGCGUCCUGUGCCUGCCCCUUCCUUUGGUAGUAGCUGUUGGCAGCGUAGGAGCAGUGAGCGAGCACUGUGUUGGGAUUGUAACAAGCUCCAUUUUGGAGAAUGGGAGUGCAGUCAGCUCCAGCUCCACAAGCGAAGUCCAGUGUCUUUUGCAGGGCAGUGGUGCUCAUGUCAGAUCUACAGACGCACCAAGCAGCAUCUGAAAAAACAAAGGAAAAGAAGAAGAAGAAAGGAAACACGAUUUGAAGAAGGAAGAAAUAGGGAAUGCUGAUGUAGAGGUUAACUACCUGAAGGGCUAAGAGAGGAGAGAGGAAUGAGGAGGAGAAGUAAGAAGGCAGCCAUGAUUGGGAGGGCAAAGGGAAGAGAGAUGGAGGAACCUCCAAAGCUUUGCUUCGUUCUGCUGUCUCUAUUGAUAGAGAGCUACUGAGCAAUGGCAGUUGUAACAUCCAUAAUUCUCUGCAUAUUUAUUACAACAUGCUCAGUUACAGCUCUAUCUAUUGUAACACCCAACUUACAGUUUGAGGGGCUCA